rnacentral:rRNA from 1 species
UAAUGUCUGGGAAACUGCCUGAUGGAGGGGGGUAACUACUGGAAACGGUAGCUAAUACCGCAUAACGUCGCAAGACCAAAGUGGGGGACCUUCGGGCCUCAUGCCAUCAGAUGUGCCCAGAUGGGAUUAGCUAGUAGGUGGGGUAACGGCUCACCUAGGCGACGAUCCCUAGCUGGUCUGAGAGGAUGACCAGCCACACUGGAACUGAGACACGGUCCAG